AUGGGGAAUAUUGGACAAUGGGGGGAACCCUGAUCCAGCCAUGCCGCGUGUGUGAAGAAGGCCUUUUGGUUGUAAAGCACUUUAAGCGAGGAGGAGGAGCUCUAGACUAAUACUCUAGAUGCUUGGACGUUACUCGCAGAAUAAGCACCGGCUAACUCUGUGCCAGCAGCCGCGGUAAUACAGAGGGUGCAAGCGUUAAUCGGAUUUACUGGGCGUAAAGCGUGCGUAGGUGGUCUUUUAAGUCGGAUGUGAAAUCCCUGAGCUUAACUUAGGAAUUGCAUUCGAUACUGGGAGACUAGAGUAUGGGAGAGGAUGGUAGAAUUCCAGGUGUAGCGGUGAAAUGCGUAGAGAUCUGGAGGAAUACCGAUGGCGAAGGCAGCCAUCUGGCCUAAUACUGACACUGAGGUACGAAAGCAUGGGGAGCAAACAGG
rnacentral:rRNA from 1 species